rnacentral:rRNA from 1 species
AAACGACUCUCGGCAACGGAUAUCUCGGCUCUCGCAUCGAUGAAGAACGUAGCGAAAUGCGAUACUUGGUGUGAAUUGCAGAAUCCCGUGAACCAUCGAGUCUUUGAACGCAAGUUGCGCCCGAAGCUUCUGGCCGAGGGCACGUCUGCCUGGGCGUCACGCAU